rnacentral:misc_RNA from 2 species
CAUUUUAGCAGCCGCAAGGCAGCAACCGCCCGCCGCGAGGUGGGGUCGGCACCCUCUGUCUACUUGUACCUCUUGUUGUUUCCUCGGCAGGCUUGCCUGCCGCAAGGAACCCCUUAAACUCUUGCAUCUAAAGUAUUACAAAACUCUGAUAACUACUUAAUUAUCA